GCAAACUGUUCCUUAAGUAGCCUUGAGACCAGAUAGACUGUGUGGUCUUUAUGAAUGAAGGCUAGGCACAUUCCUGUCUGAUAGCUCCAGGUGCAUCAGAACAUGGGCAUCCUUUUUGGCUACCAUCAACCACUCCUUAAAAAGGGGUUCAGAAAUGGUGGCUCAGUUCUUCUUGGGCAUCAACAUCAUGGUGGCUGAAAGAUAUGGGGAAGUGUUUCCAUUUGGCC
rnacentral:lncRNA from 1 species